rnacentral:rRNA from 1 species
AUGCGGCAUCUCCUCCUCCCAGCACCUCGCCAGCGCCAAGCAGCUCUUCCCGCCGCCCAAGCCCUGAGCCCCAGCGCAAGCUCCGGCCCCCAGAUCCCCGCUCUGCCCAUGGCGGCGCGGACACAGGCGUGGCAGUUCGCGGCCGCCCUGGUCUUCUUCCACGGCUCCGAGUACGUCCUCGCCGCCGCCUUCCACGGCCACAGCAACGUCACCGCCACCUCACUUCUUAUCAGCAAGCAGUAUGUUUUGGCAAUGAGUUUUGCAAUGGUGGAACACCUGACAGAAAGCCUUUUCUUCCCAGAAAUAAAAGGGUAUCUGUUUGUCAGUAAUAUUGGCCUUCUGAUGGUGCUUGUUGGUGAAAUUAUUCGUAAAAUUGCUGUUGUAACGGCUGGGCGUGCCUUUACACAUGUUAUACGGAUUCAGUAUGAAGACCAGCAUCAGUUGGUAACUCAUGGAAUUUAUAGAUUUAUGCGGCAUCCUGGGUAUUCAGGCUUUCUUCUAUGGGCAGUUGGAACGCAGGUUAUGCUGUGCAAUCCAGUAUCUACAGUUGUAUUUGCAUUGGUGUUGUGGCGUUUCUUUGCAAGGCGGAUACCAUAUGAAGAAUUUUUCUUGAGGCAAUUUUUUGGCUCUCAAUAUGAAGAAUAUGCACGGAAAGUGCACUCGGGGUUACCAUUUAUAAACUGA